AGGACGAACGCUGGCGGCGUGCUUAACACAUGCAAGUGGAGCGACGAACCAGGGCUUGCCCUGGGGCAAAGCCGCGAACGGGUGAGUAACACGUGGGUUACCUGCCCCGAUGACCGGGACAACCCGAGGAAACUCGGGCUAAUACCGGAUGUGCCCGCAAGGGGAAAGGAAGCUUCGGCCUCCGCAUCGGGAUGGGCCCGCGGCCCAUUAGCUUGUUGGUGAGGUAACGGCUCACCAAGGCUACGAUGGGUAGCUGGUCUGAGAGGAUGAUCAGCCACACUGGGACUGAGACACGGCCCAGACUCCUACGGGAGGCAGCAGUGGGGAAUCUUGCGCAAUGCGCGAAAGCGUGACGCAGCAACGCCGCGUGGGGGAAGAAGGCUUUCGGGUUGUAAACCCCUUUCAGUUGGGACGAAGCUUCGUCGGUUAAUAGCCGACUGGAGUGACGGUACCUUCACAAGAAGCACCGGCUAACUACGCGCCAGCAGCCGCGGUAA
rnacentral:rRNA from 1 species